AUUACAACUCGAAUUGAAGCGUGUUUGUCGCUGAAUCUCCUGACAAAAGAUAUGCCAAGGGCCAAGCGUUACCAAAACUUGCAAAAGUCAGUUCAACCAGCAUCUACUUCACAAGGUGUAGCACAACCUUUAUCAACAACUGAGUCAACACCUUCACAUCUUGAUGAUACGCCGUAGUUGGUAUCAUUUUUUCAACCGACACCUUCAGUCCAGGCCGCAGCACAUCAGACUGCAUCAGUUAGGGCCACAUCACAGCCGACCCCGUCAGUUCGGGCUGCAGCACAGCCAGCUCAUUCGGUUCAGGCCACAUCACAAUUGGAUCCAUCAGUACAGGCAGCAUCACAGCCGACACAAUCCAAAAAGCAUCCUGGACGUGAGUGUCCGCAACAUUGGACAGUUGAUGCAAUAGAUAUGCCAAGGGCCAAGCGUUACCAGAACUUGCAAAAGUCAGUUCAGCCAGCUCAUUCGGUUCAGGCCACAUCACAGCCGGCCCCAUCAGUUCGGGUUGCAGCACAACCGGCUCAUUCGGUUCAGGCCACACAUAGAGCGAUUAACUGAUUAGCUUUUCAAUUUUCAUAUGCUUAUACCAUUAAUUUUCAUAUGUUGAUUUUCGAUCUGUUGAAGAUCGGAUGAUCUCUUGUUGAAUAGCUGAUUAUAUGAUAAUUGGAAUCUAUUGUUUAGUUAUAAUUAUAUUCAACUUAAUCUGCAUUUUGAUGUUUCAUGUUGAAUUCUUAGAAUAGUAUAAGCUGAAGUUUAUGCAGAAUUUGAUGUACAAAAGUUAGUUCGAUCUUUUAACUUGAUGUUUAUUUUUAAAGAUUCGCAAGGAGCUACCAAGAAACUCAAAGUAAAGGUUAAGGAUAUGAUGUAUUUAUCCGACGGAAAAUGUAUUGUGGUUGAAUUUGAUGAUAUGGAUCAGCCAAUUGGAGAAGGGCAAGGUGUUCUUGCAGGCUUUUGUGGAAUUUUAGCAACCGACUGCUCCUUAUUUCCAAUUCACUUCAACAAAUGGCCAGAUUUACCUAACCACGAUUCUGUUUUAAGACAACUGAGUUAAAUGCACGAGCAUAUGUUUAUAGUUCUAUUGGAAAGAAGUGGAGUUCAGGAAGGCAAAGGUUGUGGUAUGAGUUCAAUGACCCACUUAAGACC